GAUGAACGCUGGCGGCGUGCCUAAUACAUGCAAGUCGAGCGAACGGACGAGAAGCUUGCUUCUCUGAUGUUAGCGGCGGACGGGUGAGUAACACGUGGAUAACCUACCUAUAAGACUGGGAUAACUUCGGGAAACCGGAUCUAAUACCGGAUGAUAUUUUGAACCGCAUGGUUCAAAAGUGAAAGACGGUCUUGCUGUCACUUAUAGAUGGAUCCGCGCUGCAUUAGCUAGUUGGUAAGGUAACGGCUUACCAAGGCAACGAUGCAUAGCCGACCUGAGAGGGUGAUCGGCCACACUGGAACUGAGACACGGUCCAGACUCCUACGGGAGGCAGCAGUAGGGAAUCUUCCGCAAUGGGCGAAAGCCUGACGGAGCAACGCCGCGUGAGUGAUGAAGGUCUUCGGAUCGUAAAACUCUGUUAUUAGGGAAGAACAUAUGUGUAAGUAACUGUGCACAUCUUGACGUUACCUAAUCAGAAAGCCACGGCUAACUACGUG
rnacentral:rRNA from 1 species